rnacentral:rRNA from 1 species
AUGGAAAUCAAAGACUUUCACCCUAUAAGCCUAGUCCAUAGCUUUUCCAAGCUUAUCACCAAAAUGCUAGCCAAUAGGCUGGCUAGGAAGCUCAAGGAUUUGGUGUCUCCCAAUCAAAGUGCUUAUGUCAAAGGAAUGUGCAUUCAUGAAAAAUUUGGUGUCCAACAAAUAGCCAAAUUGCUCCAUUGGCAAAAAGAGCAGAGAGUUCUCCUCAAGUUGGAUAUCUCAAAGGCCUUUGAUUCCAUUUCAUGGCCUUUCUUGUUGCAGGUACUAAGAUACUUGGGAUUUGGCCUUGUUUGGAGCAUCAUUCUGUUCAAACUUUAA